rnacentral:rRNA from 1 species
GGAUUAGAUACCCUGGUAGUCCACGCCGUAAACGAUGUGCACUAGGUCGAGGGGGUUUGACGCCGCUCUCGGCUGAAGCGAAAGUGUUAAGUGCACCGCCUGGGGAGUACGGCCGCAAGGCUAAAACUCAAAGGAAUUGACGGGGGCUCACACAAGCGGUGGAGCAUGUGGCUUAAUUCGAAGCAACGCGAAGAACCUUAUCCUGGGUUUGACAUGCAUGGAUUAGCUUCCUGAAAGGGAAGUGACGCGGCUUGCCGUGGAACAUGCACAGGUGCUGCAUGGCUGUCGUCAGCUCGUGCCG